GAUGAACGCUAGCUACAGGCUUAACACAUGCAAGUCGAGGGGCAGCAUAUUUCUAGCAAUAGAGAUGAUGGCGACCGGCGCACGGGUGAGUAACACGUAUCCAACCUGCCUUAUACUCGGGGAUAGCCUUUCGAAAGAAAGAUUAAUACCCGAUGUUAUAGUCUAACCGCAUGAUUUGACUAUAAAAGAUUUUCGGUAUAAGAUGGGGAUGCGUUCCAUUAGAUUGUAGGCGGGGUAACGGCCCACCUAGUCUUCGAUGGAUAGGGGUUCUGAGAGGAAGGUCCCCCACAUUGGAACUGAGACACGGUCCAA
rnacentral:rRNA from 1 species